AUUAAUUCUAGGAGGGAAGGGUAAAUAUGGAAUAAAACAAGUUGUUUGAGGUGAUAAGGCUCUUCAUUAUUAUAUAUUAUAGAGCAUAGGUAUUUGUGGCAGCUUGAUGAAAGUUCCAAGUUCAUAUAACACAAAGCUUAGUGAAAUCUCAUUAUCAGAAUCCUAAUAAUCCAACCAAAUCAGGAAUAGUCGCAAGCAAAUUCAAUCAUUGAGGGUUUUAUUUAAGG
rnacentral:misc_RNA from 1 species